ensembl:lincRNA
CGGGACUCUCAAGAGUCUUCUCCAACACCACAGUUCAAAAGCAUCAAUUCUUUGGCCCUCAGCUUUCUUUAUAGUCCAACUCUCACAUCCAUACAUGAUUACUGGAAAAACCAUAGCUUUAACUAGACAGACCUUUGUUGGUAAAGUGAUGUCUCUGCUUUAAUAUGCUGCCUAGGCUUGUUGCAGCACUCAGAAUUUGAGGAACCAGGAUUGACCCUUUCCUCCAACUCUUCUCCCAGUGCACCACUGGUCCGGGAGUCAGGACGAAUGCGUGUCAGCUCUGUCUCUGCCACCUUCCUUGGGAUAUCAGGAAAGCUCUCUUUAGUACCAGUUUCCUCAUCUGACAAACGCAUGGCUCACACUAGGCCUUCCACAAAUCCAGCACUUAGUGAUUCACUAUAUCAUCACCCACUCCUAAUGUUCUGUUUGAGGGAUUUAGUAUUUUUAUCUUCUUUUUUUAAAAAAAUCAGGAAUUUGAGCCUGUAGCCAAUGAACUUUCCUCCCCCGUUAUGAGAAACAAUCCUCAGAAUCCCAAGGAAACCAGGUCCAGGACUUCUCCCAGGGGAGGUUUCUGCAUGCGCAUAACGUACUCUGUCUUAAAAAAAAAAAACAAAACUCUUGACGUCCUUCCCUCCAGUGAAGUCAAUGACUUGCAACUUCCUUUCCCAAGUCCCCACAGAAUUUUAGGCAAAUUAACGCAGGAGCAUUUGAUCUUCUCCCCAGAUGUUUUGAUCACAGAAGGGCCACAUAUGUGCACACAUUCCUGGAUAUUUUUAGGUUUUUUUAUAAGCUCCAAAGUUCUAACUGCUUUUUCACUCCGCGCAUUGUGGGCACUGCCGGGAGAUGUUCCUGCCGAAGCUGCCAAGGCAGGGUCUGGUGGAAGGGGGCCUGGCCCGGGAAGGCUCCCGGAAGUUGCUCUGAGCGAUCCUGGAUGCUGCAUGGCUUCAGUCCCUGAGGCCUCUCUGGCCACUAAGAGAACACAAACCGCUGCCAGGAUGCCAGAGAGGUGCAGGGGAGUUUCCUCCUGUGAAAAAUCUCUGUCUGACUCUGCCCUUGAGAAAACAUUGGUGUGGCUACAGUAGGUAGCCCUUCCUCUCUGAAAGACGCAGAGUGAGGUCGGACGCUAACCUCAGCCAAACUUUCUGCUUGCACCCUCCUGAGCAAGGGGCUCUGACCACAACUUUCUUAAAAAUAUGCUCCCUCCUGUCCCAGAGCACAGCCCCACCCUGCAGCUUCCAGAACCCUUGGCUCCGGGACUUUCUCAGGCUCUCCUCUUUGCAUUGUCAAAACGGAACAGACUGCGCAGAAGGAACGUGUUUGGUGCUGAGACCGGAGCCAGGGCACUAUGCACGGAUCCAGACAAUCUGCUCCACUCCUUCCAAGGAGAGAGGAAAGGCUUUCAGUACUUGCUGACAACCAAGCCAGCGAUGGGAACAUCUCUGGGUGACCAGGGGUAAACAAAGCAAGAGACGUACACCCUAUGCUGAUGCACUUUGAGAAAUAAAGGGCUUCUAGCUUUAAAUACUGUGGUUUCAUAUUGUGUGUGUGUGUGUGUGUGUGUGUGUGUGUGUGUGUGUGUGUGUUUUAGGGUGGUUGUGGUGAUGCAAAAGCUGUCAGGUCCCACCUCCCCCCAGAGCUUGAAUUGCAUUGAUGGCCCCUCUUCCACACUUCCCUUGGACACCUUCAGGGACCAAACCCUCUCACUGUUAGAUAGCUCUAAUAGAAAGCUUUCGGUCACUUUGAUGGUUUAUCCUUUUGUCUUAAGCCCAAUUCUUUCCUCCAUUUGGAACUGGUCCAAUCCUUCUUCCCCAGGAAAGAUUUGUAGAGGCAACCAUGGUGGUAUUGGUAACAAUACCACCCAAAUCUAUUCUUCAGGCUAAACAGACCAAGUUCUUUCAAAUGUCUUUCCCGUGACAGUUUUGAGUCUCCCUGCUUCCUGAUCACCUCUUUCUUGUCACCACAUAAGUGACACAAUACUCUGGUUGUCUGUAGUUCUCACACAGUAAGUUAUUUGGGAUGGACAAGUUUUCCAGAGGGUUGAGGGGCUACCUCUUUAGCACCACACUUUUAAAAAGCAUGACAGAAAGCAUGCAGGAUGCGGGCCCCAUGUAGCAAGCAUAGAUCUCUAUCAUUUUUCUUUCUGAUGUUUCUCAUCACCUCUGACAUCAUCUCCUGAUACUUCUUCCCACACACCUCUUCAAGUCUCUUUGCUCACCAUCUCCUGACAAGACUGGACUUUCUGUGCCAUCAGAGAAAGAACAAGGACCAAUGAGAGGAAGCCACAAAACGUCAG